ACUUCUCUGGCCCAUCUGCUACCUGACUUGCUCUUCCAACAUCUUCUUACUGUUUCUUCAACCCAUCAGGCUCUCUCCUGUUCAGGGCCUUUACACGGGCUGUUUCCUCUGCUAGAACGUGCCUCCUCCAGGUAUCUGGAAGGCUCAUUUCUUUACCUCACCUUCUUCAGAUCUUUACUCACAUCACCUCCUCCAUGCACACAUCCCUAGCCAUCCUGUUUAAGAUUGAAGAAAUUUUUCCAGACAUCCCCUCUUCCCUGCUUUCUGUCCGAGAUCAGAAGAGC